AUAUUUAAUUCCCAGGCAUGGUUUGUGAUUCCCCAAAACAAAUGUUAUGGCUUAAUUUUCCCAAACUAUUCCCUUAUCUCGACAGGUGAAAUAAUCCAUAUGCAUGACAUGUAAUGGUUUGUGGGUCCACACAUGGCCCAUGAGUGCCAAAUACAAAUUUCAUGGCAUAAGACCUUAGAAUUUGGCAUCGGACCAUGGCAUAGGCAUUGAGAACCAUCAUUGGUGUGACAAUAUUGAAAUGGUGAUCAUAUCUCAUUUAUAAGCAAAAGAUUCCUAAUGUAAGGCAUGUGUGGUGGUUCAGGGUACUUAUGCAUCUAAUUACUACAAACCUAUCCCACACAACCACAAACAUAAAUGCUAACACACUUAUAAAAAUAAACAUCAAUGCACCUAACCUAUUUACUUACCCACACAUCUAAUCGAUGCAUCUUAUUGGUGACCAUUCUCCACUCAGGUAAACAAUUAAUCAUGUGUUAAUUAGACCGAGUAGGUCCAAGGGGGAUAAGGGUUAAUGUGUUAGUAAUCACCUAACCUAGACCUUGAAUAUCCACCCCCUAACCUUAUAAAUCAUCGACCCAUAACCCAUAACCCUUCUAAAUAUGCAAUGUCAUUUAUUCCCAUUGCUUUGCAUGUUAAAGUGAAUAAAUUAAACCAAGCAUUGGUAAACAAUGGGAGUAACUAUGACUCUCUUAAGGUAUCCAUAUGCCUUGUCAUCUAAUUAGUGACACACAUGAAUGGAUUAAAAAUAUUCCCAUUUUCCCUAGGUACUAUCUCGAGAAACCACAUCCAAGGGAAUGGGCUUGGUAGAAUUAGUGGGGAAAGAAGACCCUGUUAAGCUUGACUCUAGUCCUAACCCAUUCAUAGUUUGGGA
rnacentral:ncRNA from 1 species